rnacentral:rRNA from 1 species
GACGAACGCUGGCGGCGUGCCUAAUACAUGCAAGUAGAACGCUGAAGGAGGAGCUUGCUUCUCUGGAUGAGUUGCGAACGGGUGAGUAACGCGUAGGUAACCUGCCUGGUAGCGGGGGAUAACUAUUGGAAACGAUAGCUAAUACCGCAUAAUAGCAGUUGUUGCAUGACAACUGUUUGAAAGGUGCAAUUGCACCACUACCAGAUGGACCUGCGUUGUAUUAGCUAGUUGGUGGGGUAACGGCUCACCAAGGCGAUGAUACAUAGCCGACCUGAGAGGAUGAUCGGCCACACUGGGACUGAGACACGGCCCAGACUCCUACGGGAGGCAGCAGUAGGGAAUCUUCGGCAAUGGACGGAAGUCUGACCGAGCAACGCCGCGUGAGUGAAGACGGUUUUCGGGUCGUAAAGCUCUGUUGUAAGGGAAGAAAGAGUGUGAGGGUGGAAAGUUCACGCUGUGACGGUAUCGUACCAGAAAGGCACGGCUAACUACGUG